rnacentral:rRNA from 1 species
AGAGUUUGAUCAUGGCUCAGGACGAACGCUGGCGGCGUGCCUAAUGAAUGCGAGUUGAACGAGGCCGGGUAAUUGAGUUGACCUUUCGGGGUCAUCUCGCCCUCCCGGCCUAGUGGCAAACGGGUGAGUAACACGUGGGUAACGUACCCCAGAGUCGGGGACAACAGUGGGAAACCGCUGCUAAUACCCGAUGUUCUGGGCCGCACACAAGUGCGGUUCAGCAAAGGCUUCGGUUGCUUUGGGAUCGGCCCGCGGCCCAUUAGCUUGUUGGUGAGGUAACGGCUCACCAAGGCGACGAUGGGUAGCUGGUCUGAGAGGACGGUCAGCCACACUGGGACUGAGACAUGGUCCAGACUCCUACGGGAGUUAGCAUCCGGGAAUCUUGCUCAAUGGGCGAAAGCCUGAAGCAGCGACGCCGCGUGGGUGAUGAAGGCCUGCGGGUCGUAAAGCCCUGUCAGGAGGGAAGAACGCCCGGCUUUGCUGGGU